AAGACGGAAGGGAAAGCCAAGUGAUCUAAGGCAGCUGCCGUGUUUGGGUGAAAGGAAUGUGCACGUGUGUGCGUGUGUGUGAAAUGAAGCUGACAGAGGAUUUCUGUAACAGACAUGAUGGAAGUUGUAACCAGUGUAGAUGCCGACCUGCUGAAACUCCAGAGAAAUCAUGGUAACACACAAAAAGAGAAUGCAAUUGAAAUGACAUGAGGUGCACCGCAGGCUUGGGAGACCAGCACUGGGCCGGGUAGAACCAGCAUUAAGGAGGAGGGGCGCGGAGCUUCGCUCAGAGCUCAGCUAACACUUCUGCGGACUCUCCUGCACAACAGCACUGGGACGUCAUGACAGAUGUGUGUCCAAGUUUUGAAGAAGCAUCUACAACCCAUGGGUGCACCGAGAGAGAUUUCAGAUGUUCGGUGGUGGGCACGAUGUAUUAACUCAAAUGUGUUGGUGAAUAUAAAAACUUAUCAGUUGAGGGGCGGGGA